AUGUGAACUUAGGUCAAAGCAUUACAGUGUUUCAAAAUUUCGCACCUGCAAAGUCAGGUUUCUUUCUCUCUUGCCCAUGUGUUGGUUAGAAAACAAACCUCAGAAGGCAAACAAAAACAAGCAUGGCAAACUUUAAGCCCAAGAAGUUACCAAACAUACAUCAUUUGACUAACACCCUUUUUCUCCCUUUUUUAGAGCCACACCUGGGGCAUAUGGAGGUUCCCAGGCUAGAGGUCAAAUCAGAGCUGUAGCCACCAGCCUAUGCCACAGCAGAUCCAAGCCACAGCUGCAACCUACACCACAGCUCAUCAUAACACUAGAUCCUUAACCCACUGAGCAAGGCCAGGGAUCAAACCCACAACCUCAUGGUUCUUAGCCAGAUUCAUUAACCACUGAGCCACAGCAAGCACACCCAUCACUGUGCGGUUUAAUGCUUUAAAAGUUUGGAAGACCCAGAAAACUUUUUAAAAGAAAGGCAACGCAGAGAAGAGGCUUAUACUGUGGAAUCACAGAGCCUUGCAUUCAAAUUAGAGGCUGACAUAUGCUCAGUUAUCUAUAGGAUAGGAAUAAAUCUCCCUUCGCAGACAGAGAUAAGGUCUGUAAGGACCAGAGCAAGAAGCCUCUCCAUCAUCUCUACCAUAUGUUUAUGUCACAACACCAACAUGCUAUCAACAGCCCUUAUUUAUUUCAUCUUUUUAGGGCCACACCUGUGGUGUAUGGAAGUACCCAAGCUACGGGUCUAAUCUGAACUGUAGCUGCUGUUUUACACCACAGCCACUACCAUACUCUACACCACAGCUCACACCAACAAGCCAGAUCCUUAACCUACUGAGUGAAGUCUGGGACCAAACUCGCAACCUCACAGAUUCUAGUUGGGUUCAUGGCACACUGAACCAUCACAGGUCCUUCCAACAGGCCUUUAACUGGUAGCAGUAAACGUAAUAACGAUGUUAAUGCGCAUUUAUUGCGCACGUAUUGUGUCAAACACUCUUUCGUGCUUACGGGUAUUCAUUCAUUAAAUCCUUAUAACCAGCCUUUGAACCGAAAGUCGUUGUGGCUGCAAAUAAGCCAAAGCUGGGAUAGCAACCCAGCCACUGGGGCUCCAGCCUCCCGAUCUGAGCACCAGAAUCAUCGAAACGCUCCCCCACGCGAGCAUCAGACAACUCGGCUCUUUUCGGGAAAGCCAGGGAACCGAGUCCUACAGCUGUCACUUCCCCUGCCGGGGCCGAAAGGGUUAUUCCCACUGAGACGCCCGCACACCCCAGGCUCCUAGAGCGGCCGCCCCAGGGGCGGGAGGAAAACGCGUUUCCGGCGGGUGUCGGGCUCGGGAAUCGGCGGGUUGGCUCCGGGGUGCGGCGCUCAGGGCUACCCCUUGGCCAGGGCCUUCCCGCGGAGGACAGGAGCUCCAGAAAGAGAGGGGGACUGUGAGUGGGGAGGAGAAGCCGGCGGCGCAGACCACGGUCCCCGGGGCGCCUGUGAACUUAGCCGCCCCGGAGGCUCGUGCCGUGAGGCGCGAGGCUGGCGGCCGUUUCUCCUGGAAGGGCCAGCAGCCCGGCCCUCGCCGUCCCCUCUCUGAGGCCUCCGUCCUUCCAGAGCCCCGGGUAAGAAACCGCUCCCUCUUUUCCUCCCGCUUCCAAGUGCCAGCGCGUCCGCCUCCGUCUCCGUCUCCGUCUCCUUCUUGAGCCCCACAAGUUGCCCUGAAGAGCCGGUGACUCUAACCGUAGGCAACUGGUUUAUAAAAUCCGUUUGUAAACGGCCUUGCCCCAGAGCCUCAGGAAGCCGGGAGCGGGGCUAGGGCCGCGGAGCGCUGGUUGGGCCCGCGAGCUCAUUCCCGGGUCAGCGUUAGGGUGAAGGCAGGCGGACUUCGCCGAAGUCUGCAGGCCUGAAACCGACCUGGUUGGCCUUCCUCUCUCCGGCGGCGGGAGAGCGGGUUCACUCUUAGCUGGAUCCUGCUUAUCUUUUCUCCUGCCGCACCCUACUGCUUUCCUCAUCUUACCAUCUUUUAGUUUUUGUCUCUCUCUUUUUGUUUGUUUUGCUCCAACCUAUUUUCCAGUCCCACUGCCACCAUCUUUCAGCUUUCAACUUUCUGUGUCGAAAACCUGUAUUAUCGGAGUUCCUGUCAUGUCUCAGUGGUUAACGAAUCUGACUAGCCUCCAUGAGGACAAAGGUUCGGUCCCUGGCCUCACUCAGUGGGUUAAGGAUCUGUCAUUGCGUGCGCUGUCGUGUAAGUCGGAGAUGCGGCUCAGAUCCUGUGUUGCUGUGGCUGUGGAUCUGAGCCAUGUCUGCGACCUACACCACAGCUCACGGCAAUGCUGGAUCCUCAACCCACUGAGCAAGGCCAGGGAUUGAACCUGAAACCUUAUGGUUCCUGGUCGGAUUUGUUAACCGCUGAGCCACGACGGGCACUCCGGCUGCCUCCUUUUACACAGGACUGUAUUUCCCCAUUCACUCUAAGUUCAGUCCAUUCCCAAGUCCUCCCUGUCUCUGAGCCUGAGGAUCAGCUGCUUAUGUCUGCACUCACGUUUUUCCUAGAAUAGAGAAGUAAGUUUUUGGUUCCUAGGUCUCCAUCCAAAGUAUUCAGAUGGAAAGUAAACCCAGAGGGAUGUAUGUAAAGGCCACAGAGAGGGCAAGCUCCCAGCCUCCCUCACACUUUUCUUUCUUGGAUCCCAUUUCCAUUUGAAUUUUCCACUCGCCUUACAGGAACCCUCACAAACAGCUGGAUUCAUUGCUUCACAGUCUCUCAAAGUAACCUGAGGACCAUAACUUGGCGUUUUUUUUUUGUUUGUUUGUUUUUUGUUUUUAGGGCCGUAUCCAUGGCACAUGGAGGUUCCCAGGCCAGGGUUCGAAUCUGAGCUGUAGCUGCCAGCCUACACCACAGCCACAGCAAUGCAAGAUCCAAACCCUGUCUGCGGCCUACACCACAGCUCACGGCAAUGCUGGGUCCUUAACCCACUGAGAAAGGCCAGGGAUUGUAUCUGCAUCCUCCUGGAUGCUAGUCAGAUUCAUUAACCACUGAGCCAUGACGGGGGGAACUCCGGGGUAUUUUCUAGUAAAUGCUUUUGGGCAACAUCUACAGCUAGUUCUAUUCUGUGAAACCUUCCCUGAAAACCCGGCAUCCAACCCACUCCAGCCAUCUCAUCAAGAGAGGCCAGGCUUCAGUUUAGAUGAAUAUGACCAAACUACUAUCAUUUCUCCCACCUCUGGAUUUCUGUGGCUGUGCCUGAAUCAACAAACUUUUUUGUUGUUGUUUUUGCUUUUUAGGGCCACACCUGUGGCACAUGGAGGUUCCCAGGCUAGGGGCUGAAUUGAAGCUACAGCUAUUGGCCUACACCACAGCCACAGCCAUGCAGGAUCCGGGUCGUGCCUUCAAUCUCCACCAACAGCUCACAACAAUGCCAGAUCUUUAACCCACUGAGCGAGGCCAGGGAUCGAGCCUGAAACCUCCUGGUUCCUAGUUGGAUUUGUUUCCGCUGCACCGUGACGGGAACUCCCUUAUCAAACAUCUUGUGCAUGGUAGGCAGUCAGUAAUAAUUAUCAGCUGGUAAAUGGCCCAGUCGCACAUGUCUCAUCCCCCUAGUUGGACUGUAAGAUCUUUCAGGACGAGGUUCAAGUUGGAUGUCUCUCUGCACUGCCCAGCAACCAUUACCGUGUCUGGCGAUGGCCGAGGAAGUAGGUACCAUAAGGAGGCACCCCAGAGGAGCAAGAGGUUGAGAAUCUCCGUCCAAUCCCAUGGCUGGAAGCAGCAGCCCCAGCUCCACCCAGCCCCAGAGGUGCAGAGGGACAGAGAGACAGCCCGAGAGAAGAGAGCACAGAGGCUUACUUGGUCCUGGAAGCCAGAGCACUUCUCAGACCGCCCCCCCCCGACCUCCACGCAGGGGGUUCAGCCCGGUCUACAGCCAGCACCGAGCUGUAUCCGCGCGACCUGGUGGGUGAAACCCGACCUGAUUCUGAUUCUGAAUUCCAAGCUCUAGAAUAACAACAAUGGGUAACGUGUACGCGGUGCCUUCUGAGCCAAGCACUGCCCAGUGCUUCCCACCCAUGGCCUUCCAGCCUUGCCAGCGCUGCGGAGUCGACACUGUGAAAAUCUCCUCUUUACAGAGAGAAGGCUGGGGUUCCAGUGGCUGAGGAGCUCACCUAAGGCCACCUAGUCACCGGCGAGCCAGGAGCUAAGUUGAUUGCCGGGCUCUGGAGCGUAGCGCGGUGCUCCUUCCAAACAUCUGCGGUUUAAUAACCACAGGACCUCGCACGUAAGAAUAAUUAAGAUAGGGAGUUCCCUUGGGGUGCAGUGGGUUAAGGAGCCAGCAUUGUCAAUGAAAAACAAUCUUGUUAUGUGUAUUUAUUUUACAUUUUUUAUUAAAGCAUAGUUGAUUUACAAUAUUCCUUCAGUUACCACUGUACAGCAAAGU
rnacentral:lncRNA from 1 species